GAUAAGGUUCUACAUCUCAGGUAAUACUUAGUUUUUUAAAUUACUACUUAAUCAAUUUUAGAGUUUUAAAUGCCCUUCUAACAACUUAAAUGUCACUUGGACUACUUCUGCUGGUGCAUCUUUCAAUGGAAGGGGAAGAGGAGAAGGCUCUGCAUCUCAGACUACUUUUGCUAGUGCAUCUUUCAAUGGAAGGGGAAGAGGGACGCCAUUUCAAAGGACAAGGAUGAUUGGAAUGGGUGUGCUUCAAACUCAAAGUGGUUUUAAAAUUGUCAAUCCUGGAAUGCCAAAUAGUCAUUCAACUAUGCCUAUGAAUUUAGCUAUAGUGACUGGAAGCCUUGGGCAUCACAAACCAAGACCAAGAGGGUUAAAAUGGAAAUGAACUCCUGCUAUAACCCAACAGGGGCUUCAAGAGAUGAGAGGACAAAAGAGAAUGAGACUAAGAUCCUAGGCUACUGAAUUGAAUCAUUUGAGUCAAACAAGUUCAUCAACUGCCCAGUAGAUGAAAUGCAAAAAUGUGGACAACUAUGUUGUGUGUACAACUGAUUGACUGGUUUUUUUGUUAAACAAUUAUGCAGCUGUGACUGCACUAGUUAGUUAAUCUAAUUUUAGGAGAAGGUUCAAUUAUGCAGCUGUGACUGCACUAGUUAGUUAAUCUAAUUUUAGGAGAAGGUUCAAUUAUGCAGCUGUGACUGCAUUAGUUAGUUAAUCUAAUUUUAGUUUAGAAACAAUAUGCAGUUGUGACUGCACUAGUUAGUUAAUCUAAUUUUGGUUUGGAAAUAAUUAUGCAGUUGUGACUGCAAUUUGGUGUCAGCUUGUUGCUCUAAUUUUGCCCUGUAUUGACAAUGAAGUGUUGUAAUAUUAAGCAUCUGUGA